rnacentral:lncRNA from 1 species
AGCGCAGCACAUGGUGUGUCAGCCGUGGAUGCGGUUCCUGCUUUUCUCUUUACUCUCCUGUGACCAGAGACUGAGACCUGCAGCGCUGCAGCUGCUCACACAGCUGGUGUGUUUCAGCGGCGGCGUCUCACACUGGAGGACUGAAGUUGAGUCUGUGUGUGAAGAGAUUGAGAAACAAGGAGCGACGAACCUCACCGAUGACAGCACACACACACUGAGACUAAUGCUCACACAGUGUUGUGCUCUUUCUCCUCCUGAUGAUCUGAGGAUGAGGAUGGAGGCUAUACAAGAGUCACUAAGACAUCUUCCUCCCUCUGAGAGCUCAAGCAGACACAUGCUUCGGGUUGGACGGGUGUCUGUCUGUCUGUCUGACUUCACAAUCAGCACUCAGGACCUAUGAAACACAGCC